rnacentral:rRNA from 1 species
CGUGGGGAACCUGCCCCAUAGUCUGGGAUACCACUUGGAAACAGGUGCUAAUACCGGAUAAGAAAGCAGAUCGCAUGAUCAGCUUUUAAAAGGCGGCGUAAGCUGUCGCUAUGGGAUGGCCCCGCGGUGCAUUAGCUAGUUGGUAAGGUAAAGGCUUACCAAGGCGAUGAUGCAUAGCCGAGUUGAGAGACUGAUCGACCACAUUGGGACUGAGACACGGCCCAAACUCCUACGGGAGGCAGCAGUA